rnacentral:rRNA from 1 species
CACGUAGGGUGCGAGCGUUGUCCGGAAUUAUUGGGCGUAAAGAGCUCGUAGGCGGUGUGUCGCGUCGGCCGUGAAAACCUGCAGCUUAACUGUGGGCUUGCGGUCGAUACGGGCAUCACUGGAGUUCGGCAGGGGAGACUGGAAUUCCUGGUGUAGCGGUGAAAUGCGCAGAUAUCAGGAGGAACACCGGUGGCGAAGGCGGGUCUCUGGAACGUUUCUGACGCUGAGGCUCGAAAGCGUGGGGAGCAAACAGG